UACGGAGGGAGCUAGCGUUGUUCGGAAUUACUGGGCGUAAAGCGCACGUAGGCGGCUUUGUAAGUUAGAGGUGAAAGCCCGGGGCUCAACCCCGGAAUUGCCUUUAAGACUGCAUCGCUUGAAUCCGGGAGAGGUGAGUGGAAUUCCGAGUGUAGAGGUGAAAUUCGUAGAUAUUCGGAAGAACACCAGUGGCGAAGGCGGCUCGCUGGACCGGUAUUGACGCUGAGGUGCGAAAGCGUGGGGAGCAAACAGG
rnacentral:rRNA from 1 species